GACGUAGGGCGCAAGCGUUGUCCGGAUUUAUUGGGCGUAAAGAGCUCGUAGGCGGCUUGUCGCGUCGACUGUGAAAACCCGCGGCUCAACCGUGAGGUCUGCAGUCGAUACGGGCAGGCUAGAGUUCGGUAGGGGAGACUGGAAUUCCUGGUGUAGCGGUGAAAUGCGCAGAUAUCAGGAGGAACACCGGUGGCGAAGGCGGGUCUCUGGGCCGAUACUGACGCUGAGGAGCGAAAGCAUGGGGAGCGAACAGG
rnacentral:rRNA from 1 species